rnacentral:rRNA from 1 species
AAUAUUUGACAAUGGGGGCAACCCUGAUACAGCCAUGCCGCGUGUGUGAAGAAGGUCCUCGGAUUNUCAAGCACUUUAUGUUGGGGNGAAGGGCUUUAGGUUAAUACCCUGAAGUUUUGACGUUACCAACAGAAUACGCACCGGCUAACUCUGUGCCAGCAGCCGCGGUAAUACAGAGGGCGCAAGCGUUAAUCGGAAUUACUGGGCGUAACACGCGCGUAGGUGGUUCAGUAAGAUGGGUGGGAAAACCCCGGGCUUAACCUGGAAAAUGCUUUCAUAACUGCUGGGCUAGAGUACGGUAGAGGGUAGUGGAAUUUCCUGUGUAGCGGUGAAAUGCGUAAGAAUAGGAAGAAACACCAGUGGCGAAGGCGACUACCUGAACUGAUACUGACACUGGGGUGCGAAAGCGUGGGGAGCAAAC